ensembl:lncRNA
GUAGGUCAAACAGUCCCGAUUAAAAAACAGAGAAAAAAACACAACUUUUCCUUCCUUCUGCAAGGAUUUAAGUUCCCAAUUCCAUCCCAAACAAGCAGAUUCCUGGCCUUCCCAUUGGCCGGGGGCAGGUUCCAGUAACAGCUGGUGUGACAUCACAGGCGUGGUCACCCCCCCCCCACCCUAUCAGAGCUAUAAAGAGCAGUAUCUGGCCGGAUUGGGAGCAGCUUAGGUAGAUUAAUGCGCUCGGACACUGAGACGUUUUGUUGUAUAAAGGGCUCUGUAGAUAAAACAAUGUGUCACAUUGCCGGUGCCCCAGGGUCUUUCAGCGGGCAGAUGGGCCAGACCUUCUGAGCUGCCCCAGGACCAGAACCACAGUGACCCCCCCUGGACCCCCCUGCAUGGGACUGCAGAGGCCUUGUGGCUUGUGUGUAUUAUACAGGGAUUAGAGGUAUUUAUUGUUGAUUUUGAUUUCUAAACCAUUUUUUGGGGGCGGGAUUCGUGGAAAGUAGAGAGGACUCCGAGUGCUGUGAUCCGUGACCACUUGUUAUCAGUCGGCCAAUCAGAUUCCAGCGCCGGCGGUUCCUGUUUCCUGGUGCACCUGACGCCCCGACGAUCAGGGACAUCCGAAACUCUGGCCCCAGCAGACUGCAUCUCACAGUGGUUCUCAGAAGACCUUCCACCUCCAGCUCCUCCCGCUCCUCAGAAGAAGACUCCGGAGAAGAAUCCUGGGCCCAGAAGCUUCUCACGCCACUCAGAACAUCUCAGCAACGUUUAUGCUGCUGACUGACGCAUAUCGCUUCUGAUAGGGAAAAACUAUAGUAGUAGAAAACAUUUCUGGACCUUGUAGCUGCUGAUCUCUGCAGGGGUCUCCAACCGCCAUCAAAGAGACUUCACACACUCUCUCAGAAGAUUGACUUCCCCCAUAAACUUGUGAGUUCAGAACUUCUACAGCAUUGCUGGUUUGGACUACAAAUCCCAGCAUGCCGCAUUCCUUCUACAUGAAAAAAGCAACCGAGCCUUGAUCCAGCAGAUGGCAGAACGGCGGGGAGAUGUUUGGGGAAGGAAUGGAACAUUCCAGCAGUUCUCUUCGGGCCGAAUUCCUCUGGCCUUGGGAACCUCGGGUCGGUCUCCUCUCUGAGGAACCAGAACCAGAACUUGAGGGUCGGUCAUCUCCUCUCUGAACCAGAACCUCGACCUGCUCUGGUCGGAUGAGCGCUCUUCCACAGAAAUAUGCGUAAAACCCUAAAAUCUCAUCUCAUAACAUAGGCCUAUCUAAAUCACACACACACACACACACACACACACACAC